rnacentral:lncRNA from 1 species
AAUUUUGUUCACAUCUAUACACCUUGUUUAAUUACCUGUACAUAAGAUUCGUUCACACUUGUAAACUCUAUGUCAUUUAAAUGUUCAUUACGUAGAAUCGAAUGAAAAGUUUUCGGACAACUUUUCUAGCAGUAAGGGAACGACCAUAUGACUCUGAAUAGGGGGGAUGGAAAUAUUCCAAACCCCAAUUGGAUAAAGAAAACAAUUCUGGUUUUAUAGAUGAGAAAAAAUAUUCUGAAUCAAGAGUUUCCCCAUACAUUAUAGUGUUAAAUGUUGAAGGAAAAAAAAUUUGAUUACCAGCAUAAAAAAAAACAAAAAAAAAAACAAAAAAAAACCGUAAAACGUUUGCGCGGAAAUAAUUCUGACUCAGAUAAAUAAAAAAAAUAUACCCCCC